GCCGGCUUAGCUCAGUUGGUAGAGCAGUGGUUUUGUAAACCGAAGGUCGGGGGUUCGAGUCCCUCAGCCGGCA
rnacentral:tRNA from 1 species